AUUUUCCUUUUAAAUUUUCAAUUGGUUUCCUUUACUUUUAAGGCUGCUAUUUAAGUCUGUUCCUUUGUAGACUGUUUUGCCUUUGCAUUUGCAGAUUCUAAUACAGAACCAACACAGAAACAGAGAAUUUGAUUAUCCAAAACUGCUGACUGUCAAUCACAGGACUCUAGCUUCCUUGCCCCAUAAUCAUACCAUCCAGAGAACAAAGAGGCUGAGAACCAGAUUGGAGAGGAAUAAAAGGAAAGCUUCCAUUCACAGAUGUGCUUGAUUCUUCCAUCCAUAUGUUUAUGUUCUGCUUCUCCCCCUUCAUCCAGAGCUGAAGAUCUCAAAGAUGCUGGCAGGUACAAACAUGCUCCCUUUUAAUUAUACCACCAAAUUGCUGCAAUAACUGAUUGCCAGUUAAAUAAUUAUAAUCAAGUGCCCAUUGUACAUAACAAUCAUUUAAUGACUGCCAUCCGAAAACACUGUAAUAAAGAGAGCUUUAAUGAAGAAAACUGGAAAGGUGCCAAGGUUUUAUGGCGGUUUGCUUAAAGGAAAAGAGAGCCAUAAUCUGUAUUUAAGAUUAAAAGAAGGCUUUAAUCCAGAUGCUCAACAUUAAACAAGAGAGUGGAGUUGUGUUUUGAUCAAAAGUUAGUGCAUGCAUAAAAGAAAGUAACAUAAACGUUCUUUCAGAAAAAAGCACCAGUAAAUUAUAUUAAGUAAGUGUUUGUAACCAUUUGCUUUGGAAAAAAAUGAAAAAGAAGAAAAACAUCUGAUUUUCAUUUUGGAUAAGAAUAUUCAGCUAAAAUAAAAUAAAUGGGAAUAGGAUUUUAUUUAAUUUGUAUAACAUCAUUGAAAAUAAAGUGAGUUACGAUUCCAUCUACCUUGUACCAGUACUCAUUCUCCUUCUACUGACCCUAUUUAGCUUUUGCUCUCAUUUUGCUAGGCCGGGACUGUAUCUCU